rnacentral:rRNA from 1 species
GUGGGGAAUAUUGGACAAUGGGCGCAAGCCUGAUCUGCAGCCAUGCCGCGUGAGUGAUGAAGGCCUUAGGGUUGUAAAGCUCUUUUGGCCGGGACGAAAAUGACGGUACCGAGAGAACAAGCCCCGGCCCGGUUCGUGCCAGCGGCCCCGGUAAUACGAA